rnacentral:rRNA from 1 species
UACGAGAGGCCCAAACGUUAUUCGGAUUUACUGGGCUUAAAGAGUUCGUAGGCGGCGCAGAAAGUAGGGUGUGAAAGCCCUCGGCUCAACCGAGGAAUUGCGCUCUAAACUACUGUGCUUGAGGAAGCUAGAGGUGAGCGGAACUGAUGGUGGAGCGGUGAAAUGCGUUGAUAUCAUCAGGAACACCGGAGGCGAAGGCGGCUCACUGGGGCUUUUCUGACGCUGAGGAA